rnacentral:rRNA from 1 species
UACGGAGGGAGCAAGCGUUACUCGGAAUUAUUGGGCGUAAAGGGCGCGUAGGCGAUUUGAAAAGUCUUGUGUGAAAGCCCCGAGCUUAACUCGGGAAGUGCACAAGAAACUGUUGAAUUUGAGUUCCGGAGAGGAAGGCAGAAUUCCCGGUGUAGCGGUGAAAUGCGUAGAUAUCGGGAGGAAUACCAGUGGCGAAGGCGGCCUCUGGACGGAUACUGACGCUGAGGCGCGAAAAGCAUGGGGAGGCGAACGAGGA